UACGUAGGUCUCAAGCGUUGUUCGGAUUCAUUGGGCGUAAAGGGUGUGUAGGUGGCGCGCUAAGUCGGGUGUGAAAUUUCGGAGCUUAACUCCGAAACUGCAUUCGAUACUGGCGUGCUUGAGGACUGGAGAGGAGACUGGAAUUCAUGGUGUAGCAGUGAAAUGCGUAGAGAUCAUGAGGAAGACCAGUGGCGAAGGCGGGUCUCUGGACAGUUCCUGACACUGAGACACGAAGGCCAGGGGAGCAAACGGG
rnacentral:rRNA from 1 species